ACAAUCGCUUGCAAAACGUAAAUGGUGCGGUGAGUGGCAAGUACCUGGGACCGUAAAGGUCGUGGCCGCCUUUGCUCUGUUCGAAUUAAUUCAACAAGUGAAAGCUGCAAAGAAAAACAUUGCAAUGGGUCGUUCAGCGGCUACGGGCGCUUUGCACCGAGAGUAAACUCUAGAGGGAUGCCUCCGGCUGCUUGCACAGGACUCAAGGGAGCUGGAAUUGAUUCCUGGGUCUUUGGGGCAGAAGCAGCUAGUAAAUCAUAAUGCUUUCCGUUUUUGUGCGAGGAAUUUGCUGUAGUGACCAGCUGCUGAGAUCUGCAGUGAAGCAGGCGCUUGCACGACAUAGGGCGGCAUUUCUAAACACUUGGGCAUGGUCCAGAGUAGGGCAAGGGCUCAGUCACGACCAUGUCUUGAGUCCUGAGAUAGGCUACGAAGUCAUAAAGCGAAGCCUUUGGGUCCCCCUGGGUGGCCUGAGAUCCGAAAAAUCAGAGAACAGGAGCUCGCAGGUGCCUGUGCAAAGUAAAAAAGGAGACGUUUCACUCUCAGCUGCUCAAAAAGUGAAAGAAGCAGGAAGAGAUUUCACUUACUUGAUAGUGGUGAUCAUCGGGAUCGGUGUGACAGGUGGGUUAUUCUAUGUGAUUUUUAAGGAAUUAUUCUCUUCUUCCAGUCCCAGUAAAAUCUAUGGAGACGCCUUGGAGAAAUGCAGAGCUCACCCUGAGGUAAUAGGAAUUUUUGGUGAACCCAUAAAAGGCUAUGGUGAAGCUACACGCCGUGGGAGAAGACAGUUGGUCAGCCAUAUUGAGUUUGUAAAAGAUGGAUUGAAAUAUAUGCGUCUAAAAUUCUACAUUGAGGGAUCUGAAAAAGGAAAACAAGGAACUGUUCAUCUUGAAGUCAAAGAGAAUCCUGAAAGUGGAAAAUAUGAAUAUCGUUACAUAUUUGUGGAUAUUGAUAGCUACCCUAGAAGAAUGAUAAUUGUUGAAGACAAUAGAUAGCAGAAUGAUUGAGAAAAGUCUUUCAUUGCUGGGAUUGAUUGAUAAUAUGCAAUGAACAACAGAAUAAUAAACAUGAAAAAGCUUUUCAGAGAAGGACGAUACUCAACUAUGGAGGAGGUGUGAAGCUGUCAAGCAAGCAUUCUCCAGACAACAGAAAUUCUGGAGCCAGGAGGAGAGGCAGCGCAAGUGUUUCUUCCGAAAGAAAAUAGAUCAUCCCCAACUUUGCUCAGGGCUGGUGUUUCCAGCUGAAACCCAUUUUUAGGGCAGUUCUUGUACCAUUGCUGAGCCAAAAGGAAAAAACUAGCUCAGCUUUUGGAAAGUGAGAACAGUUUUAACAUUUCAACAGAACUAAGACAAACCUGUGAGUGGUGCAGACUUCAUGUGGAAGUGCAGUGAGAGAUGGGAGGAACCUCAAGUCACAGUUUGUUCCUACCUAGAAAACAAUGUAUAUUUACUUAACUAACAUAAAGUCUACCUAAAUAACA